rnacentral:rRNA from 1 species
AGGGAUAGGGUCGGUUCGGCCGGGUUUCACACAGGUGUUGCAUGGCUGUCGUCAGCUCGUGUCGUGAGAUGUUGGGUUAAGUCCCGCAACGAGCGCAACCCUCAUCCUUAGUUACCAUCAGGUAAUGCUGGGGACUUUAAGGAAACUGCCAGUGAUAAACUGGAGGAAGGUGGGGAUGAUGUCAAGUCAUCAUGGCCCUUAUGGAGUGGGCUACACACGUGCUACAAUGGUGGCUACAAUGGGCUGCAAAGUCGCGAGGCUAAGCUAAUCCCUUAAAAGCCAUCUCAGUUCGGAUUGUACUCUGCAACUCGAGUGCAUGAAGUUGGAAUCGCUAGUAAUCGUGGAUCAGCACGCCACGGUGAAUACGUUUUCGGGUCUUGUACACACUGCCCGUCACGCCAUGGGAAUUGGU